rnacentral:rRNA from 1 species
UACGGAGGAUGCGAGCGUUAUCCGGAUUUAUUGGGUUUAAAGGGUGCGUAGGCGGGAUGCCAAGUCAGCGGUAAAAAUGCGGUGCUCAACGCCGUCGAGCCGUUGAACCUGGCGUUCUUGAGUGGGCGAGAAGUAUGCGGAAUGCGUGGUGUAGCGGUGAAAUGCAUAGAUAUCACGCAGAACUCCGAUUGCGAAGGCAGCAUACCGGCGCCCUACUGACGCUGAGGCACGAAAGCGUGGGUAUCGAACAGG